GUUCUUGUAGUUGAAAUACAACGAUGGUUUUUCAUGUCAUUGGUCAUGGUUAAAUUCC
rnacentral:tRNA from 1 species